rnacentral:rRNA from 1 species
GCGGCGGACGGGUGAGUAACGCGUAGGAAUCUACCUAAUAGUGGGGGAUAACGUUUCGAAAGGGACGCUAACACCGCAUACGUUCUGAGGAAGAAAGCAGGGGAUCGCAAGACCUUGCGCUAUUAGAUGAGCCUGCGUCCGAUUAGCUAGUUGGUGGGGUAAAGGCCUACCAAGGCGACGAUCGGUAACUGGUCUGAGAGGACGACCAGCCACACUGGAACUGAGACACGGUCCAGACUCCUACGGGAGGCAGCAGUGGGGAAUAUUGGACAAUGGGGGCAACCCUGAUCCAGCCAUGCCGCGUGUGUGAAGAAGGCCUUCGGGUUGUAAAGCACUUUAAGCGGGGAGGAAGGCUCUAUGGCUAAUAUCCAUGGGGAUUGACGUUACCCGCAGAAUAAGCACCGGCAAACUUCGUGCCAGCAGCCGCGGUAAUACGAAGGGUGCGAGCGUUAAUCGGAAUUACUGGGCGUAAAGCGCGCGUAGGUGGUUUGGUAAGCGAUAUGUGAAAUCCCCGGGCUUAACCUGGGAACUGCAUGUCGAACUGCCAGGCUAGAGUAUGGUAGAGGGGUGUGGAAUUUCCUGUGUAGCGGUGAAAUGCGUAGAUAUAGGAAGGAACAUCAGUGGCGAAGGCGACACCCUGGACCGAUACUGACACUGAGGCGCGAAAGCGUGGGUAGCGAACAGGAUUAGAUACCCUGGUAGUCCACGCCGUAAACGAUGUCAACUAGCCGUUGGGGGGCUUGUCCCUUCAGUGGCGGAGCUAACGCG